rnacentral:rRNA from 1 species
UGGGGAAUUUUGCGCAAUGGGGGAAACCCUGACGCAGCAACGCCGCGUGAGUGAUGAAGGCCUUCGGGUCGUAAAGCUCUGUCUAGAGGAAAGAAAUGAAUGUCGGUUAAUACCCG